rnacentral:rRNA from 1 species
UUGUUGACGACCUGCGAAGCAGACCGCGAACACGUGUUGUAUACAACUUCGGGGCCGGCGGCCUCGGCCGUCGCCCCGAACCCCCCCGUCGGCGCUCGCGCGCCGCUCGGGCUAACAAACUCGGGCGCGGAAUGCGCCAAGGAAAACUGAAAAGGAACGUCCGCCCCCGCCGCCCCGUUCGCGGACCGCGUCGGGGGCAGGACGCCUGUCGUAAUACCAAAACGACUCUCGGCAACGGAUAUCUCGGCUCUCGCAUCGAUGAAGAACGUAGCGAAAUGCGAUACUUGGUGUGAAUUGCAGAAUCCCGUGAACCAUCGAGUCUUUGAACGCAAGUUGCGCCCGAAGCCGUCAGGCCGAGGGCACGUCUGCCUGGGCGUCACGCAUCGCGUCGCCCCCCCUCCGAAUGCGUGGGGGGGCGGAGAAAUGGCCCCUCCCGUGCGCCCUCGGGCGCCGCCGGCCGGGUCCCAAAAUGCGUUUUCCCCCCGGGCCGACGCCCCCGUCCCCGAACCAGGUUGGUUGGUUGGAAUCCUUCCCACUUCCUCGUUGCUGGUUAGCGGGCGUAUCUUUCGUGCGGGGGAACCUCGUUANCCCGACCCNAAAGGGCCCCUCCUCCCCGGUUGCNCCUCCGAACCCGNAAACCCNGGUUCNGGCAGGGAAUUAGCCCCC